GGCAGGUGUGUUAGUUGUGCAUCCCCACAGGCUAGGUCUUGUGAGCUAUGAACAAGUAGGGGACCGAAAUGAUGCAGGGCAGUGGGCGCUAGAGUGGAGCGGUGACUGUGGGUGUUGGCUGAGUCUCUGCUUUAGUGGAGCUGAUGUGGAUGGGAUGGGAGAGGGAGGCAGGGAUGAGAGCAAGAUUUCACGCGUCAAUUGUAUUUUGUGUAGCGAUGGCUCUUGCUUGGCUUAUUUGCUGCACUUGUAGAGGAAUUGUCCAGGAGCAGCAGCCGGAGGAGAAAUUGGCAGACGUGGGCCUGAGGAGCCUGGACAUUCUUCUAAGGAGACAUGAACAGUCCUCAGCUUUCUGCCUCGUGCAUAACUGGCUGUGGGUUUGGUGUGUCUGACUAGAGUCAUCUGUGCAGAGUGACUAUUUCAGGUGUCGUCGCAAGGGGUGCUUUCUACUUGUAGUCCUAAAGGCGUGAUGGGAGGAAGGUUCAGGGCAGAGCCCCACCAUGUGGGAGAGGCAAAAAGAAGCGGCUGCCCAACAUUGCCAAUUGAGAUGGUGACUGACUUGUUUUUCCGCUGGAUUUAGUACCAAGGGAAAAGAAGUGACAAGUCAGUCUACUGCCCUCAUGCGAUGUAAAGCGAGCGAGAGUGAUGGGACUGCGAGAAUUAUUGAUGCCUUGAAAAAGCCGUCCAACUGGGAAUGGAACUGUCAUCACUGUCAAUGAGAAGUGUCUGUAUUGGUGAUUGCUCUGCUCACGGCCCACCUUGCUCCUGAAAGGGAUGCCCCGUUUGCUGAGGCUGAAUUUGUACGAAAAGGUUCCUGACUAGCUGUGGUUUUGAGAGAGAGAGAAGAUCCCCAUUUUUAGGGGCUGCUCAGUUUUCUGGCCAGGAGCAGUGUGUCCUACGCAGCAGAAGGUUGCAUCUAGGAGAAUGAGUCCAGCUGCACUUCCAGAGGAAUUGUCCAGGAGCUCGAGCCGGAGGAGAAACUGGCAGAGGUGGAUCUGAGCAGCUUGGACAUGGUUCUAACCAGACAGGAACAGACCUCAGCUUUCUGCCUUCUGAACAACUGGCUGUGAGUAAGAGUACCAAGGAAAAAUAAGUCACAUGUCAGAGUCUACUGCCCUCAUGCAAUGGAAAGUGAGUGAGAGCAGUGAGCCUGUGAGCAUUGUUCAUGCCAGGCAAGAGCCAUUCAUUUGGGAGCCAAGCAGAUGCCACUGUCAGUGAGAUAAGUGUCUGUUUUGCUGAGGGUUCUGUUAACAGCCCAUCUGA